UACGUAGGUCCCGAGCGUUGUCCGGAUUUAUUGGGCGUAAAGCGAGCGCAGGUGGUUUAUUAAGUCUGGUGUAAAAGGCAGUGGCUCAACCAUUGUAUGCAUUGGAAACUGGUAGACUUGAGUGCAGUAGAGGUAGGCGGAAUUCGUGGUGUAGCGGUGAAAUGCUUAGAUAUCACGAAGAACUCCGAUUGCGAAGGCAGCCUGCUGGACUGUAACUGACGCUGAUGCUCGAAAGUGUGGGUAUCAAACAGG
rnacentral:rRNA from 1 species